UACGGGGGGGCAAGCGUUGUUCGGAAUUACUGGGCGUAAAGGGCGCGUAGGCGGUCUGCUAAGUUGGAUGUGAAAACUCUGGGCUUAACCCAGAGCCUGCAUUCAAUACUGACAGGCUAGAGUUCUGGAGGGGAUAGCGGAAUUCCUGGUGUAGCGGUGAAAUGCGUAGAUAUCAGGAGGAACACCGGUGGCGAAGGCGGCUAUCUGGACAGAGUCUGGACGCUGAGGCGCGAAAGCUAGGGGAGCAAACAGG
rnacentral:rRNA from 1 species